UGGGGAAUAUUGGACAGUGGGCGCAAGCCUGAUCCAGCCAUGCCGCGUGUGUGAAGAAGGCCUUAUGGUUGUAAAGCACUUUAAGCGAGGAGGAGGCUACUUUAGUUAAUACCUAGAGAUAGUGGACGUUACUCGCAGAAUAAGCACCGGCUAACUCUGUGCCAGCAGCCGCGGUAAUACAGAGGGUGCAAGCGUUAAUCGGAUUUACUGGGCGUAAAGCGCGCGUAGGCGGCUAAUUAAGUCAAAUGUGAAAUCCCCGAGCUUAACUUGGGAAUUGCAUUCGAUACUGGUUAGCUAGAGUGUGGGAGAGGAUGGUAGAAUUCCAGGUGUAGCGGUGAAAUGCGUAGAGAUCUGGAGGAAUACCGAUGGCGAAGGCAGCCAUCUGGCCUAACACUGACGCUGAGGUGCGAAAGCAUGGGGAGCAAACAGG
rnacentral:rRNA from 1 species